rnacentral:lncRNA from 1 species
UGAAGAGGAGGAAUGUUUUCAUAAUCGUGUCUGCCUUUUGCAUCCUGAUUAACAGUAGAGACAUACAGAUAUGUGUACGUGGUAGGCACAUCAUGUCUGCACAGCAAAAUCACUAGGACCCUGGAACAUGUUGUGGUGCAUGGCUGUCAGCCAGCCCUGUCAUGAUCUGUGUUUCUGCUGUGCAUGCUGAACCUCUUUAAAUAAUCACAUAGCUGGACGUAUAGACAUAUAUAUCUUCCUAGCUGCUAAUGCCUUUUCUUUAGAUAAUGUAACUGAAACCUUGUGACAGGAGCUGGUAUGGAAAGCCACCCAAGGGUUUAGGAAGAGAGGGAUGUAAGGAGUAUGCAAUGACACCUUUGAACUGGUAAGAGAUACCUUCUUCAUCUUGGGGAGGUAGGGGAGAAUAGUUAGCGGGAAGACUGGAGACUGAGAGCUGAGGUGGGAGCAGUGCAUUGAAAAAUGUCAUUAUAGGAGGAAGUGUAGAGGGGUAAUUAGGUGAGUUUGCCCCUGCUCUGUACUGUAGUGCUGAAUACAGUGCUUAAUCUCAGCAGUGCAAAGGUUAAGAGAUGCAGGUCUAAAUGGUCAUCCAAGGGCUAUGCAAUUAGCUUUCAUACUGAGCAAAGCUAAAGCCGGAGAGCUUGCACCUGUGGAUUGUUGAUGGAAAAAACACUCUUGACUGAGCAUAGUCUAAAGUGAGAUCUUUUUUCUGCAAAGCACAGAAAGGCUGUGCGCUGAAUACAAGAGGAUCAACACAGCUGGUUGCUAGCAUCUUGAUUAGGGAUGGAUGAACUGGUUUGGAUAAAACAACAACUGGUCUGACUGUGCACAGAACUCCAGCUGAGCCUGAAUUUGGAAGGGGCAAAACAAUACAAAGCUUAUAUUGUUAUUUUCACACUUACACAUUAACGUUUUUCUGUACAUCCUGGUUGCAGGAAAACAGCUAGAAGACAAUGCAAGAAUGGCACAUUUCCUGCCUCGCUGGAAAGAAAGGAAGUCUCUUGAUCUCUCUUCCUAUCACCAGACAUGUUUCAGAGGAAAACAGAAAAUUUCCUGUGAACCAGCCACAGAGUAUCUGCACAUUUCCCUCUCUCUAUUUCAGACUGUUCAACCUGUAGCAGUUGAGAGAAAACGUAGUAACUGAAGUUAUGGAUAUGAAGUAACUGAAGUAAUGGAUUUGGAGCUGUUUGGUAAGAAUUAUGGGGUGGGUUUGGACCUAUUCUGCAGUAAUUUAUUAAUUCAGACAGGAAACUGGAACGUUUUCUGUUUGAUAAGAAAGCGUAACUUCAGCUUCUCCUAAC